UAACGGCGAGUGAAGCGGCAACAGCUCAAAUUUGAAAUCUGGCCCCGCGCGGGGUCCGAGUUGUAAUUUGCAGAGGAUGCUUUCUUGGCUGGGGGCCUUCCGAGUGCCCUGGAACGGGACGCCACAGAGGGUGAGAGCCCCGUACGGUCGGACGCCCCAGCCUGCUGUAAAGCUCCCUCGACGAGUCGAGUAGUUUGGGAAUGCUGCUCUAAAUGGGAGGUAAACCCCUUCUAAAGCUAAAUACCGGCCAGAGACCGAUAGCGCACAAGUAGAGUGAUCGAAAGAUGAAAAGCACUUUGGAAAGAGAGUUAAACAGCACGUGAAAUUGUUGAAAGGGAAGCGUUCAUGACCAGACUUGCGCUUGGCAGCUCAGCCCCCCGUUCGCGGGGGGUGCAUUCUGCCGGCUCAGGCCAGCAUCAGUCCGCUGCCGGGGAGAAAAACAGCGCGAACGUGGCUCUUCGGAGUGUUAUAGCUCGCUGUAUAAUGCCCGCCGGCGGACUGAGGGUAGCGCGUCCGCAAGGAUGCUGGCGUAAUGGUCAUCAGCGACCCGUCUUGAAACACGGACCAAGGAGUCGUCCUAAUAUGCGAGUGUUUGGGUGUCAAACCCUUGCGCGAAAUGAAAGUGAACGGAGGUGAGAGCCCCCCCGGGGCGCAUCAUCGACCGAUCCUGAAGUUCAUCGGAUGGAUUUGAGUAUGAGCAUAUUGGGCCGGACCCGAAAGAAGGUGAACUAUGCCUGUAUAGGGUAAAGCCAGAGGAAACUCUGGUGGAGGCUCGCAGCGGUUCUGACGUGCAAAUCGAUCGUCAAAUAUGGGCAUGGGGGCGAAAGACUAAUCGAACCUUUUAGUAGCUGGUUUCCGCCGAAGUUUCCCUCAGGAUAGCAGUGUUGAGUUCUCAGUUUUAUGAGGUAAAGCGAAUGAUUAGGGACUCGGGGGCGCUAUUUAGCCUUCAUCCAUUCUCAAACUU
rnacentral:rRNA from 1 species